rnacentral:misc_RNA from 1 species
UCCGGGUUUCCCCAUUCGGAUAUCUGCGGAUCAAAGCUCGUUUGCCAGCUCCCCGCAGCUUUUCGCAGGCUGCCACGUCCUUCAUCGCCUGUAAUCGCCAAGGCAUCCACCACAUGCACUUAGUCGCUUGACCCCAUAAUCGUGCGUCCUUGGAGGACCCACGCCACGGGCAUGUUUGCGCCACUCGCGCGCGCCUUUUGCGUUCGCGCGCGAGCAAGAUACAAGUGAACCCUUCGCCUAUCGCAGCUCUCAUCAAGCCCGAUAGACGCCUUGCCUUCCGAAUUGUUAAAGAACACUGCAAC